rnacentral:rRNA from 1 species
AACGAACGCUGGCUGCAUGCCUAACACAUGCAAGUCGAACGAGACCUUCGGGUCUAGUGGCGCACGGGUGCGUAACGCGUGGGAACCUGCCCUUAGGUUCGGAAUAACUCCCCGAAAGGGGUGCUAAUACCGGAUAAUGUCUUCGGACCAAAGAUUUAUCGCCUUUGGAUGGGCCCGCGUUGGAUUAGCUAGUUGGUAGGGUAAAAGCCUACCAAGGCGACGAUCCAUAGAUGGUCUGAGAGGAUGAUCAGCCACACUGGGACUGAGACACGGCCCAGACUCCUACGGGAGGCAGCAGUGGGGAAUAUUGGAAAAUGGGCGAAAGACUGAUCCAGCAAUGCCGCGUGAGUGAUGAAGGCCUUAGGGUUGUAAAGCUCUUUUACCCGGGAUGAUAAUGACAGUACCGGGAGAAUAAGCUCCGGCUAACUCCGUG